CCGUCGUGAGACAGGUUAGUUUUACCCUACUGAUGGAGUGUUAUCGUAAUGGUAAUUGAGGGUAGUACGAGAGGAACUGCUCAUUCAGAUAAUUGGUAUUUGCGCCUGUCCGAUCGGGCAAUGGCGCGAAGCUAUCAUCUGCUAGAUUAUGGCUGAACGCCUCUAAGUCAGAAUCUGUGCCAGAAACGAUGAUGUUGGUCCCGCACAUGUUAGUUGUGUUUAAAUAGAGCUUCGGCUUGUGAACCAUAAAUGUUGGCUUAGUAGCUUGGACGGAAAGGUCCUUGUUGCUCGCUGAUGAAUUGAAAUUUAGAUAUGGGCGGGGGUGAAUCCUUUGCAGACGACUUGAA
rnacentral:rRNA from 15 species